rnacentral:tRNA from 1 species
AGGGAUGUAGUUCAGUUUGGCAGAACGCUAGUUUUGGAUACUAGAGGCCGCUGGUUCAAGUCCGGCCAUCCCUACCA